GACGAACGCUGGCGGCGUGCUUAACACAUGCAAGUGGAGCGACGAACCAGGGCUUGCCCUGGGGCAGAGCCGCGAACGGGUGAGUAACACGUGGGUAACGUGCCCCGAUGAUCGGGACAACCCGGGAAACCCGGGCUAAUACCGAAUGUGCUCCCUCACACCAGUGAGGGAUGGAAAGGAAGCUUCGGCCUCCGCAUCGGGAUCGGCCCGCGGCCCAUUAGCUCGUUGGUGAGGUAACGGCUCACCAAGGCUGCGAUGGGUAGCUGGUCUGAGAGGACGAUCAGCCACACUGGGACUGAGACACGGCCCAGACUCCUACGGGAGGCAGCAGUGGGGAAUCUUGCGCAAUGCGCGAAAGCGUGACGCAGCAACGCCGCGUGGGGAAGACGGCCU
rnacentral:rRNA from 1 species